rnacentral:sRNA from 1 species
UGCAAAGCCAACGGCGUCACCGAUCUGCUGGUCGUUCACGAGCAUCGGGGCACACCUGGUGAGGCCGGAGGGAGGGAGUCGGGGUGGGAGCCGUCUGAGGGCAGACGGGGUCUCUGACAGCCACCUUUCCCUGCCAGUGGGGCUCAUCGUCAGCCACCUGCCCUUUGGUCCUACUGCCUACUUCACGCUGUGCAAUGUGGUCAUGCGGCAUGACAUCCCAGACCUGGGCACCAUGUCGGAGGCCAAGCCCCACCUCAUCACACACGGCUUCUCCUCCCGCCUGGGCAAGCGGGUGAGUCUGGGGGCCUUCAGGCUGGGGCUGCGGGCCAGGCCAGGCAUUUGCCACUCUGUUUCCCUCUCUUUCCUUGUGCCCCAGGUCUCUGACAUCCUCCGAUACUUAUUUCCCGUGCCCAAAGAUGACAGCCACCGGGUCAUUACCUUCGCAAACCAGGACGACUACAUAUCAUUCCGGCACCACGUGUACAAGAAGACAGACCACCGCAACGUGGAGCUCACUGAGGUCGGGCCCCGCUUUGAGCUGAAGCGUGAGUUUGAGGCUGAAUCCCGUGUCUGGGGUGGGGAGGGGAGGCUGACUGUGCCGGGGCUGAUGCC